rnacentral:rRNA from 1 species
AACGAACGCUGGCGGCAUGCCUAACACAUGCCAGUCGAACGAGACCUUCGGGUCUAGUGGCGCACGGGUGCGUAACGCGUGGGAACCUGCCCUUAGGUUCGGAACAACUCCCCGAAAGGGGUGCUAAUACCGGAUAAUGUCUUCGGACCAAAGAUUUAUCGCCUUUGGAUGGGCCCGCGUUGGAUUAGCUAGUUGGUAGGGUAAAAGCCUACCAAGGCGACGAUCCAUAGCUGGUCUGAGAGGAUGAUCAGCCACACUGGGACUGAGACACGGCCCAGACUCCUACGGGAGGCAGCAGUGGGGAAUAUUGGACAAUGGGCGAAAGCCUGAUCCAGCAAUGCCGCGUGAGUGAUGAAGGCCUUAGGGCUGUAAAGCUCUUUUACCCGGGAUGAUAAUGACAGUACCGGGAGAAUAAGCUCCGGCUAACUCCGUG